rnacentral:sRNA from 12 species
CCCCUAUUGACGGAUUGAACGGCAUCCAGUACAAAAACUGGAUAGGGG